CGUGUAGGCGGUUUGUCAAGUCGGGUGUGAAAGCCUGGGGCUCAGCCCCAGAAGUGCAUCCGAAACUAGCGAGCUAGAGCGCGAUAGAGGAGGGUGGAAUUCCUGGUGUAGCGGUGAAAUGCGUAGAUAUCAGGAGGAACACCGGCGGCGAAGGCGGCCCUCUGGAUCGUUGCUGACGCUGAGACGCGAAAGCGUGGGAGCAAACAGGAUUAGAUACCCUGGUAGUCCACGCCUUAAACGAUGGGUACUAGGUGUUCGGGGUGUUGACCCCCUGAGUGCCGCAGUUAACGCAUUAAGUACCCCGCCUGGGGACUACGGCCGCAAGGUUAAA
rnacentral:rRNA from 1 species